AAAUAGAAAUCAGACAAAAGUUGUAUAAUUGUGUGGGUAGUAGUGUUAUAUGUUAUAUAACUUGAUAUUAUCCAUUGGAUUGAUCUCAUCGGAUUGAUCUCAUCAUAAUUACUUGUCCUAAUUAACAGCUAAAUGCAUAGCAUUGUCCCACAAUAAGCGCUUUAUAAGCAUUAUCAGGGAGAUCUUACUAUCUUUGUUUCUUUCAUUUUAUUUUAUUUUUAUUUCCUAUUUUUUCACUCAUCAGUACUUCUAACACUAGCAACCCUGUGAUGAAGUAAAGGAUUCUCGGAUAAGACCAUUUGGCAUGAGAAGUUCACAUCUUGUCAAUCUAAUAUUAUAUAUGCUCUUGGUUGAUGCAGCCAACUUACACCAUCAUGCAGUUUAUUACAUCAUAUUAUCCAUCGAGGUUUUCAUUUGUUAAUGGGGAUUUCAAAUUAAUGGGUUUGGAUGAGAAUGUACAUAUAGUUUAUUUGUUGAAUAGAUUCAUGAUUCUUGAUGGGUAAUUGUUUGAGUAUGAAUUCACCUAUUAAAAAGGUGUAAUCUUGGGUGUAUUGUACCCCAUAAAUUUUGGUUAAAACAUGUUUUGCUCCUUAUCCUUUAGAGGUCCCAAUUUUUAUGUAUACAAUCUGAACCACAAAUUAGAU
rnacentral:misc_RNA from 1 species